UACAGGGGUGCAAACGUUGCUCGGAAUCAUUGGGCGUAAAGCGCACGUAGGCGGUCUGUUAUGUCGGAUGUGAAAGCCCUUGGCUCAACUGAGGAAGUGCAUCCGAAACUGGCAGGCUAGAGUACUAAAGAGGAUCGCGGAAUUCCGGUGUAGAGGUGAAAUUCGUAGAUAUCGGGAGGAACACCGGUGGCGAAGGCGGCGCUCUGGGCCGGAACGUGACGCUGAGAGCGAAAGCGUGGGUAGCAAACAGG
rnacentral:rRNA from 1 species